rnacentral:rRNA from 1 species
AUUGAACGCUAGCGGGAUGCCUUACACAUGCAAGUCGAACGGAGUGGCGAACGGGUGAGUAAUGUAUCGGAACGUGCCCAGUAGCGGGGGAUAACUACGCGAAAGCGUAGCUAAUACCGCAUACUAUUGGAUCGGCCGAUACCGGUGUAGCUAGUGGGUGGGGUAACGGCUCACCAAGGCCACGAACCGUAGCUGGUUUGAGAGGAGGACCAGCCAUAAUGGGAUGGAGACACGUCCCCUCUGCAAACGGCAGACAGCAGUGGGGAAUUGUGGAGAAUGGGGGAAACGCUGAGUCAGCCAACCCGCGGGUGGGAUGAUGGCCUUCUGGUUGAAAAGCACGUGUGGCAGGGAAGCGGUACCUGCAGAAUAUGCAAAGGAUAACUACGUGACAGCAGCCGCGGGAUAGU